GACGAACGCUGGCGGCGUGCUUAACACAUGCAAGUCGAGCGAGGCCCCACCUUCGGGAGGGUGUCCUAGCGGCGAACGGGUGAGUAACACGUGGGCAACCUGCCCCUAGCACUGGGAUAACCCCGGGAAACCGGGGCUAAUACCGGAUACGACCUCGGAGGGCAUCCUCUGAGGUGGAAAGGGUUUACUGGCUAGGGAUGGGCCCGCGGCCUAUCAGCUUGUUGGUGGGGUAGUGGCCUACCAAGGCGACGACGGGUAGCCGGCCUGAGAGGGCGACCGGCCACACUGGGACUGAGACACGGCCCAGACUCCUACGGGAGGCAGCAGUGGGGAAUAUUGCGCAAUGGGCGAAAGCCUGACGCAGCGACGCCGCGUGAGGGACGACGGCCUUCGGGUUGUAAACCUCUUUCAGCAGGGACGAAGCGAAAGUGACGGUACCUGCAGAAGAAGCACCGGCCAACUACGUGCCAGCAGCCGCCGUAAAAC
rnacentral:rRNA from 1 species